rnacentral:lncRNA from 1 species
UACAGAACUUGCAGAUGUCAAGUAGCUUCUUCAGGGAUGGAAGAGGAGCUAGCUGGGCAAUAAUAACAGAACAGUCAAAUCUAUUCCAUGUGAUGGAUAAUGUGCAACAUACAAGGAUGAUCUUGCUGGGAUUUACCACCUGCACUAAAGCUACACCUGGCCUUUUUGCACGGGAAUGUUAGAAGUGUGCCCAAUUUCUGCCAGUUCAGAAGUAACAGCACUAGACACUGAGUCUCCACCCGUACAUUGCCUACUCUACUGCUUUGUACUGCUGCACAGUUCUGUGUUCUUGCAUGUGCUGUUUAGUUUCUAAUAUAGCAUUCUAGUUAACUUUUCUCAUUACUCAAUUUUUAAUGUUAGAAUUUCCAAGCAGGCUAGAAGCUUUGCUCCUUUCCAUUUAUGAAUUCUUCAUUCCUGUAGGAGGGCUGGACAUCCACAAAGCACCAUACAAUCUUUCACUGCCCCGCAACGUAGGGGCCUCUCUUCCUGGCUAAACUCCUGACCUCAGGCUGAUCUUUAUGCCAAGUCUGCACUCAUCCCUUCAGACCCAAACAUGCCCACAGCACCUUCUGGGAAUCACCCUCUCUUCUCAACACCCUGACUCUGCCCCAAGAAAAAUUUGAUGCUUUCAUAGGGAAUCUUGUCCUCUCUCCAUUUGAAGGUUCCAAGGACAGUUUCUGCAUUCUCCCAGGCUCCAUAUGUUCAUUCAUACAUCUUCAUUCCUAGCAUCUCCUCCCAAGGCUUGAGCUGUCCUUCUUCCCAAUCUGGUCACACACCUCUGACUUUUGGAAGGCUCAAAGCUUCCUCCAACACCUGAAUUCCCUUUUAACCUUGCUGUGUCUGCCUCCCAGGAUUACCCAACAGACUAAUGUUUCUCCCAGCAGCCUGCAGAGACCAAGGGGCUUCAUAAGCAACCAACUGUAUAUUAAGACCCCCUUCCCUCCAACAAUGAUACUACCUACUGGAGAUUCCCAGAUUCCACAAGAGGCUUUAGAAAGAGAUUGCUUUUGACACAGACCCAUGAGAAAAGUGGAAGCUUCACAAAGCACACUUAACCAUGAGCAAAAGGCUUCUGAAGCAUUUGUGCAUAAUUUCCUCUCUUAAAAAAAAAAAAAGACUAAUUCUCUAGGAAAAGCUGCAUGGGGACCACUUAUUACCAUUUGCAUGGACAUUGCAUUUCCCCCUUGCUGUCU